CAAUAGCGUAUAUUUAAGUUGUUGCAGUUAAAAAGCUCGUAGUCGGAUUUUGGCUGAGAACGAUCGGUCCGCCGUUAGGUGUGCACUGGUUGGUCUCAGCUUCCUGGUGAGGAGGUGUGCUUCACGGCCACUUAGUCACCGUGGUUACUUUGAAAAAAUUAGAGUGUUCAAAGCGGGCUUACGCUUGAAUAUAUUAGCAUGGAAUAACACCAUAGGACUCCUGUCCUAUUUCGUUGGUCUCGGGACGGGAGUAAUGAUUAAGAGGAACAGUUGGGGGCAUUCGUAUUUCAUUGUCAGAGGUGAAAUUCUUGGAUUUAUGAAAGACGAACUUCUGCGAAAGCAUUUGCCAAGGAUGUUUUCAUUGA
rnacentral:rRNA from 1 species